UAUUCUUAUUGGUUACAGUAAAAAGUAAGAACUAUGUUAUUCUUCAUAUUUACAUGUUUGGUUGAUCCCUGGAGGAAAUUCUUGAAAUUGGUAGAUUUGGCAACACCUAGCACUACCCUUCCUUUUUAAUAUCGAGAUCCCUUUUGUUAUCCACUGUUUGACAUUAUGACUUCCUAUCUGCAAUGUCAUCACCAACUUCUAUGUUAUGUUUCCAGUAAUUUGAUAGCUUUGUUUAGAGAUCAAAUAACUGUUUGAACUUUAUAUGCUCUCUUAAUGUGAAAGCUAAAAGCUAUUAAAGUUCAAGCUGAUCACUUUUACUGGAUAAUUUAUCAGUGAUGUCCGUCCAACAUAUGCAGAGCAGACUAUUAUCGUGCUUAUCAUUGACGACAGUAAGUUUCUAGAGCUUGUUAAGAAAAAGCAGAGGCAGUAGAAGUUAGUUCAUGGUUUUAGGGGUUCCCAUUUUCUUUGAUUUGCUUCAGAUCAAUAAAUCAUUUAACUCUCUCUUUGACCUUGAAGGCCAAUCCAGUUACAUAAAUUGACAUAAU